UACGUAGGGGGCAAGCGUUGUCCGGAUUUAUUGGGCGUAAAGAGCUCGUAGGUGGUUCGGGAGGUCGGAUGUGAAAUCUCCAGGCUCAACCUGGAGGGGUCAUUCGAUACUGUCGUGACUAGAGGUCGGUAGGGGAGUGUGGAAUUCCUGGUGGAGCGGUGAAAUGCGCAGAUAUCAGGAGGAACACCCGUAGCGAAGGCGGCACUCUGGGCCGAUACUGACACUGAGGAGCGAAAGCGUGGGGAGCGAACAGG
rnacentral:rRNA from 1 species